rnacentral:rRNA from 1 species
AUGCUGCUGGAGGACUUCGGGCAGCGGGUGGACCUGACGCGCCGCAUCCGCGAGGUGCUGGCCAACUACCCGGAGGGCACCACCGCGCUGCGGGAGCUCAUCCAGAACACCGACGAGGCCAGGGCCUCGCGGGUCCGCCUCUGCCUCGACCGCCGCGCCCAUGGGGCCCGCUCGCUACAUGCCCCGGCCCUCGCGCAUUGGCAGGGCCCUGCCCUGCUCGCCCACAAUGACGCCGCCUUCACCGACGACGACUUUGCCAGCAUCUCCCACAUCGGCAACAGCAAGAAGGCCUCCCAGGCCUAG